UGGGGAAUAUUGCACAAUGGGCGCAAGCCUGAUGCAGCCAUGCCGCGUGUAUGAAGAAGGCCUUCGGGUUGUAAAGUACUUUCAGCGGGGAGGAAGGAGUAAAGUUAAUACCUUUGCUCAUUGACGUUACCCGCAGAAGAAGCACCGGCUAACUCCGUGCCAGCAGCCGCGGUAAUACGGAGGGUGCAAGCGUUAAUCGGAAUUACUGGGCGUAAAGCGCACGCAGGCGGUUUGUUAAGUCAGAUGUGAAAUCCCCGGGCUCAACCUGGGAACUGCAUCUGAUACUGGCAAGCUUGAGUCUCGUAGAGGGGGGUAGAAUUCCAGGUGUAGCGGUGAAAUGCGUAGAGAUCUGGAGGAAUACCGGUGGCGAAGGCGGCCCCCUGGACGAAGACUGACGCUCAGGUGCGAAAGCGUGGGGAGCAAACAGG
rnacentral:rRNA from 1 species